rnacentral:snRNA from 1 species
GCACUCCAGCAGUGGCAGUAUCGUAGCCAAUGAGGUUUAUCCGAGGUGCGAUUAUUGCUAAUUGAAAACUUUUAAGUCAAGUGGGCCUUAGAGAGCAUUACUACAAACAAAGGUAGUGGAGGUGAUGGAAUUUUGAGUGAACUCCCGGAGU